CUUAACACAUUCAAGUCGAUAAAAGAUGGUAUUUUUAAUGGCGUUUUUAAUGGCAGACGGGUGAGUAAUGCAUAAGAACUUAUCUUUAAAAGGGAAACAACAAACAAUUGUUAAUAACCCAAAUGCUAAGGAACAAAAGAAGAAAUUAAUCUGAGGAGGAGCUCAUGUCUGAUUAGUUAGUGAGAUAAUAGCUUAUCAAGGUGAUGAUCAGUAGCUAAUCCGAAAGGAUGAUCAGCUACACUGGAACUGAGACACGAUCCAACAACUACAGGAGACGGCACUGGG
rnacentral:ncRNA from 1 species